AGAGUUUGAUCCUGGCUCAGGAUGAACGCUGGCGGCGUGCCUAACACAUGCAAGUCGAGCGUGAAAUUUAUGAAUGAUCCUUCGGGUGAAUGAUUGAAUGGAAAGCGGCGGACGGGUGAGUAACGCGUAGGUAACCUGCCUUAUGCUGGGGGAUAGCCAUUGGAAACGAUGAUUAAUACCCCAUAAGACUACAGUAUCGCAUGAUACAGUGGUAAAAGAUUUAUCGGCAUAAGAUGGACCUGCGUCUGAUUAGCUAGUUGGUAAGGUAAUGGCUUACCAAGGCGACGAUCAGUAGCCGACCUGAGAGGGUGAUCGGCCACACUGGAACUGAGACACGGUCCAGACUCCUACGGGAGGCAGCAGUGGGGAAUAUUGCACAAUGGGCGCAAGCCUGAUGCAGCAACGCCGCGUGAGUGAUGAAGGUUUUCGGAUCGUAAAACUCUUUUCUUAGGGAAGAAGAAGUGACGUACCUAAGAAUAAGCACCGCUAACUA
rnacentral:rRNA from 1 species